rnacentral:rRNA from 1 species
GAUGAACGCUGGCGGCGUGCCUAAUACAUGCAAGUCGAACGAAACUUCUUUAUCACCGAGUGCUUGCACUCACCGAUAAAGAGUUGAGUGGCGAACGGGUGAGUAACACGUGGGCAACCUGCCCAAAAGAGGGGGAUAACACUUGGAAACAGGUGCUAAUACCGCAUAACCAUAGUUACCGCAUGGUAACUAUGUAAAAGGUGGCUAUACUACCGCUUUUGGAUGGGCCCGCGGCGCAUUAGCUAGUUGGUAGGGUAAAGGCUUACCAAGGCAAUGAUGCGUAGCCGAGUGGAGAGGUUGUUCGGCCACAUUGGGACUGACACCCGCCCAAAACCCCGAGGGGAGGCAGCAGUGGGGACUCCCCCAAAAGGGCGAAAGGCCUAAGGGCGCAACGCGGCGGGGGGGAAGAGGGUCUGCGGAUCUAAAACCCUUGUUUUUAGAGAAAAAAGUGGGUGGGAGUAACUUUUCACUUUCGGAGGGUUUCUAACAAGAAACCCACGCCAAACUCGGUC